rnacentral:rRNA from 1 species
CCUACGGGGGGCAGCAGUGGGGAAUUUUCCGCAAUGGGCGCAAGCCUGACGGAGCAAUACCGCGUGAGGGAGGAAGGCUCUUGGGUCGUAAACCUCUUUUCUCAGGGAAGAACAAAAUGACGGUACCUGAGGAAUAAGCAUCGGCUAACUCUGUGCCAGCAGCCGCGGUAAUACAGAGGAUGCAAGCGUUAUCCGGAAUGAUUGGGCGUAAAGCGUCCGUAGGUGGUUUUGUAAGUCUGUGGUUAAAGCGUGGAGCUUAACUCCAUAACGGCCAUGGAAACUACAAGACUAGAGUUAAGUAGGGGUAGAGGGAAUUCCCAGUGUAGCGGUGAAAUGCGUAGAGAUUGGGAAGAACACCGGUGGCGAAAGCGCUCUACUGGACUUAUACUGACACUGAGGGACGAAAGCUAGGGGAGCGAAAGGGAUUAGAUACCCAAGUAGUC